CUAAAGAUAAACAACUCAAAAGCCGGAGCCGCAGCCCCCUUACCUCCGGAGUCCUCUCUGCUGGUUUCUUCCGCAAAGCCUGCUUAAUCUUGGGGUCCACCGGAGAGCUCAUUCUAUUCCCCUGCUCCUCCAGGAACAACAGCAGUGGAAUGGAUAGCCUGGAUCUUAAAAGCAACUGCUCUUAACAUCACAAAGUCAUUACGCUGCUACCACUAGAAAGACACUAUAAGAUGCUCUCAAAAAUUACAAUCAGAAAUUAUCUUCCUUAUUGUGGAUCAGGCAAGAGACGGACAUCGAGCAGGAAAAUAGAGAGAGGAUCUCAACAGGAACCAAAGCUGCUCUUCCAAUUUAACUGCUUGGCUCAACUGGCCCGUGAAACACGGCCUACCUCGCUCCGAAAAUACCUGAAUUUGGUGUGGAAAGGCACGUAUCGAGAAGGGCAUUCCUCCUGCUGCCGAGUGAGGGGAAAGGUGCAAGUGAAGUGAGGGAUGGCUGUCUGCCCGUCCUGCCUGCGCCUGCCGCCGCCCCGCGCCGACUUACCGCGCUCUGGCAAAGGGGAGCCAGCGGCAUCGGGAGCGAAAAGACUCCUGCCAAGUCACCACAGCAUCCCAUCUGCCCCAGGCAGGGUGCAGUGCACAACAUUAUCGAAAGUGUCUGCUAAAACAGAAUAAGAACUGACAAAACCAUUUUAAAUUGUUAUAAAAUACCAUCUGAAAUAG